AUUGAACGCUGGCGGCAGGCUUAACACAUGCAAGUCGAACGAGUGGCGGACGGGUGAGUAAUGCUUGGGAAUCUAGCUUAUGGAGGGGGAUAAAUACGGGAAACUGUAGCUAAUACCGCGUACCAUAGGAUGAGCCAAAGUGGGAUUAGGUAGUUGGUGAGGGAAAGGCUCACCAAGCCGACGAUCUCUAGCUGGUCUGAGAGGAUGACCAGCCACACGGGGACUGAGACACGGCCCAGACUCCUACGGGAGGCAGCAGUGGGGAAUAUUGCGCAAUGGGGGCAACCUGCAGCAGCCAUGCCGCUUGAAUGAAGAAGGCCUUCGGGUUGUAAAGUUCUUUCGGUAGCGAGGCGUUAACUACAGAAGAAGCACCGGCUAACUCCGUGCCAGCAGCCGCGGUAAUAC
rnacentral:rRNA from 1 species